GUGUCAGCCGCCGCGGUAAGACGAACCGUCCUAACGUUGUUCGGAAUCACUGGGCUUAAAGGGCGCGUAGGCGGGCAAUCAAGUCAGGGGUGAAAUCUUUCGGCUUAACCGGAAAAGUGCCCCUGAUACUGAUUGUCUCGAGGGAGGUAGGGGUUGCUGGAACUUCUGGUGGAGCGGUGAAAUGCGUUGAUAUCAGAAGGAACGCCGGUGGCGAAAGCGAGCAACUGGAUCUCUUCUGACGCUGAGGCGCGAAAGCUAGGGUAGCGAACGGGAUUAGAUACCCCGGUAGUCCUAGCCCUAAACGAUGGGUACUAGGUUGUAGACUUUCCAUGGGUUUACAGCCGAAGCAAAAGUGGUAAGUACCCCGCCUGGGGAGUAUGGUCGCAAGGCUGAA
rnacentral:rRNA from 1 species